rnacentral:rRNA from 1 species
CCCGUCACAUCACGAAAGUUGGCUGCACCUGAAAUUGCUGCGCUGACCCGCAAGGGAGGCAAGCACUUACGGUGUGGUUAAUGAUUGGGGUG